rnacentral:rRNA from 1 species
GAUGAACGCUGGCGGCGUGCCUAAUACAUGCAAGUCGAGCGAACAGACGAGGCGCUUGCUCCUCUGACGUUAGCGGCGGACGGGUGAGUAACACGUGGAUAACCUACCUAUAAGACUGGGAUAACUUCGGGAAACCGGAGCUCAUACAGGUUAAUAUAUUGAACCGCAUGGUUCAAUAGUGAAAGACGGUUUUGCUGUCACUUAUAGAUGGAUCCGCGCCGCAUUAGCUAGUUGGUAAGGUAACGGCUUACCAAGGCAACGAUGCGUAGCCGACCUGAGAGGGUGAUCAGCCACACUGGAACUGAGACACGGUCCAGACUCCUACGGGAGGCAGCAGUAGGGAAUCUUCCGCAAUGGGCGAAAGCCUGACGGAGCAACGCCGCGUGAAUGAUGAAGGUCUUCGGAUCGUAAAACUCUGUUAGUAGGGAAGAACAAAUGUGUAAGUAACUAUGCACGUCUUGACGGUACCUAAACAGAAAGCCACGGCUAACUACGUG